UAAACAGAGUCUAACCAUGGACCCUAUUAUACUUAAUGAUUCAUUUUAAUCAGUUUUUGGUUUCAUUUUCCUAACUUUUGUGUGUAUUGUUUCAUACAUAAAUGAUUUUAUCAUUUUUACCCAUUAGAAAAACUACAGACUCAUAGCUGCAAGACAGUCUGAAUUAGAGGUUCUUCUCCAAGAAGAACCUAUCCUCAGCCCAGUGGGGACUGCUUUAGAGGCACUUGAGGAGGAGGUCAGGGCCCUCAGGGAAGAGAAUGAAAGACUGCAGGACCAGCAGAGUGUAGGAUCUUCUGCAGCCAGUAAAGAUCUUGAGACCCAAGUCAAGGCUUUACAUAAGAACACCAGGCUGCGCAAAAUGGCAGUUAAAGGCAACUAUCUCUUGUAGAUUAAAAUAGUGAUUCUUUUAGAUUGAAUAAAUCACGUCUCCUUAUUUCUAGUGUUAUUGUUAGAGAUGUAUCUGUGUCUACAUUUUUAGGAGAUAUCUACUGAUGUAGUAUAGGGUUUCCUGUAGGAAAAAAUUUAGCCUAGGGCAAAACACUGUAGCGCCACUGAGGCAAAAUUGGUCUGGCAGAAAUGCUAUAAUGCUUUCUGAAACCCUUACCAAAACAUUUUGCUACACUUUGAGACACCAAAAAAUGAGCAGAGGUGUAUUUUGAGUUUUACAUGUUAUGUAUUUAUAACUUGUUUGGAGUCCUGUUGUGGUACAUUCGGUGGGCCAUAUUUUCCAGAAAUUCCAUCAUUUCGGACAAGAUCACAGACGCCCCUUUUCCACCGAGGCAGUUUGAGUGCUGGUUCGGAGCCAGAGCCUAAUUUAGAACCAGUUCUUUCUGUUUCGACAGCCAAAGCACCGGCUCUGAACCAGGAAAAGUGGUUCUUAAGUAGCACCAAAACGUUGCUGAUCUAGACUUAAGAACCGCUUGCGUUAAGGGCUGGGGCGGGGCUACUGUUAGCGCAUUUGAUAAUGUACCGUAAGUAUACUAAUGUUUAAUACACUUUUACUUUACCACGAUAUGAUACAUUAUCAGCACACAUGAUAGUAGGUAGCUAAAGGCUAAGGCUAACUUUUUUCUGGGUUAAUGAUAAAAUAACGUUAUGUACUUUCUCGAUUACAACCUCCGUUUAUACAAAUUACAUGGAGCUGCACGUACACGUUGGAUUCGCCUCAUUUGGAUGUUAAUGUAGGUUCACAAAGCCAUGAGAAUUAACAGUAAAGCAACAUCCGGCAUUGUUGAUGUGUUUGUGUUUGCCGCUGCUGCGCUAACGGUGCUGGCACACGUGACAUGUACACAGUGACGUCAGACUCGGCUCUGUGAUGCUCUCUAGCCGGUGGAAAGGCAAACCAGUUCUUAGAAUGUUCGGCAGUGGAACCAACUUUGAACCAGCACCGGUGCUAGCUCUGAACCAGCACCCAGUUCUUUUUGGUGGAAAAGGGGCAAGAGAGCUCAAGCAAUGGAAAUGAAACCGAAUAUGAGGCCAGUGUUGCUCUACCAUCACCUCCUCAAUCCACAUCUCCCAAACCAACAUCAGUGCCACUAGGGAAUGAUGACUCCACCAGAUUGUCUGCCCAUUAUUGGCACCCUCCUGCUGGGCCUGUUCAGCAUUGAUGUCCUACUGAAGUCCAACCUGACGGGAGGGGUCAACAAGGUCGAUCCAUCUGCAAAAAGAUGCCAGCCUCUGGACCCCAAGAAGCUUACAGCUUUACUCAAUGCAGUUGUUCAGCAACACCCAGGGGUGAAGAUUCCAGACAUACGAACGGCCAUAAACAGAAGGAUCUGUGAGUUAAGACACCAGGAGAAGAAAAAGUCCACUUACAACUGAAGGACUGGCCCAGGCUGGCCAACCAGAAUGAGUCUUGAUAAGUUAGCAUGCGGGAUCCAUAACACUGCACUAAAGGAUUGUCUUGAUUUUUCCACUGAGGGAUUGUUCUGUUUUUGUUGCACUAAAGACUUUUUUAAUAUAUUAUUAUGAUGAAAAACAAUUGUCCUUUAGGAAAUGUUUUAUUAAUUCUUUUAAGUAUUUUUGUUCAUUUAUAGUUGUUGCCAUCUAUUGGAUCACAUAAAAAUAUCACAUGUUUAAAAGAAGAAAAAAAAAAAGAUUUUAUAGCCUUGAACUAAUUAUGAUAUGGCAUAUAUGGCACAUCCCUACCAGCAAACCAGCCGUUUGCCGAGCACAUUAUGUACAUUAUGUGUACAUAAGCUUCAGUUGG